rnacentral:misc_RNA from 1 species
UGGUUUAGAUGCCGUAUUGCGUAAUUUACGUCAGAGGAGUACUUCAUCACUGAUAUAUAUAUAUACUCCUUUCCUGUUUUCAUUCCGCAAGUAGCUGUGAGUGUACGCGAUCGCGUUAUAUUUCAACCAAUUAUGGCUUAUUCGCAGGGUGCUACUUUCGGUUCAACGCAAGGUCAUAUCCAGGUCAGUCCGGAGAUUCAAAAAUGGUUCGCAACACUUGAUCGAGAUCACAGUGGUCGGAUAACAGCUACUGAAUUAAAGAGUGCCUUAGCAAAUGGACAAGGGAGCACUUUUUCUGACACAGCUUGCAAGCUGAUGAUUGGAAUGUUCGACAAGGAAAAGAAGGGUACGAUAGAUAUUCAAGAAUUCCAAGCCUUAUUUAACUAUGUUAAUGCAUGGCUCGGUGUAUUUCGAGGUUUCGACCAUGACAACUCUGGAAGCAUUCAGGAGAGUGAGCUAUCAGCUGCUCUAACGCAGAUGGGUUAUAGAUUUAGCCCUGAGUUUAUAAAAUUCCUUAUACAGAAGAGUGAUUUUAAUCAACACCAAUCCAUCAGUAUUGAUCAGUUCAUUGUUUUAUGUGUACAAAUUCAAAGGUUUACAGAGGCAUUCAGGCAAAGAGAUGCUCAACAGAGUGGCACAAUAUCGAUCGCCUUUGAAGAUUUCUUGAGCGUGGCUCUCAACUGCAGUGUUUGAGAAUUUUUGAAUCCAAUACUAAUUGCAAAUAAUAUUUCUCAUUGCAUUUGCACAUUAACCUGUAUAUUGUUCUACGUGACCAACACAUUACCCGAAUUCUAUCUAUUCGACAGAUGAAAAUUUUCCAAAACCAGGCAGUUUGCUGCGCUGGAAAAACAAGCUUAUUCAUUCAAAAUAAAUGUCGAGCGACCAUUUCUGAGAUUCAAGGAUCACUAAUCAGCUCUGACUUGAGAACUAUGAAGUAUGGUGUAUGGCAUCCAGUACAAUGCUUCGCUUAGCUAAGUAGAAAGAAGAAGAAGAGAGCUUUGCGAUAUUCCACACGCAAUUGUUUGAUAAUCAGUCAACAAACUCUUAGCAUAGUCGGUAUAUAUGUCUAUAUCUCCAUGCUUGAUCCUAGCUCUCCAUAUCUGAUUAGGCUGGGAGGGACGGAUCUACUGUGCGUAUGCACGGACCGUGCUGAAAAGCGGAUCAAUUCCUUCAAAUUGGCCAUUCUGAAUUGCAUGUUUCUCAACUUCUAAGUCGUUGGCUUAUUCGAAUUAGCUAUAUUAAUUAUUUUUUGUAAGAAGAUGAGAGAAAAAUACUCUAUAAUUUCGUAUUUCUAAUAUUAAGGAUGUUAUAAACAAAACUGGUAUUAUCCGCAAUAGUAACUGUAGCGACUCAUUCGUUUCCUGAGAACAAUGAUGCAUAAUCAUAACAUGUGACAGUGAUAUGUGAUCGUCUAUGUAUUUGUUUAUACCUAUGAAUAAAUACAUUUUCACAAAGAA